CGUUGAUUGGAUGGCCAUGGAGUUAGGUCCACUUGAACCUGAGCGGUGGCACUCCUCCAGAAAAGCACUACAGGUCUGAGAGUCUCGUUUUCCUCAAGAACUGGUGAUAUCAUAUCAUAGAAGAAGUUUGAUCCAUCGCCUGACUUGUCUGAUUUUUUUGCCUCAUUCCAGUGAGAGGCAACUCAGAAGACCUGUCCUGACUUCAUCGGGCAUUGAGAUGCAGUCACAUCAGAGUUUUGGCAUUUUUUGUCUUCAAUUUUGUUGUGGUGCUUUAGUCGGAUAGCAGAUUUGUUCUGUAGUCUUCGAUUCUAUUGGUGAUUCUCUUGCCGGGUAGCAGAUUCUGGAAGACAACCUGAUUCAGGUGAGAGGCAACUCAGAAGACCUGUCCUGACUUCAUCGGGCAUUGAGAUGCAGUCACAUCGGAGUUUUGGCAUUUUUUGUCUUCAAUUUUGUUGUGGUGCUUUAGUCAGAUAGCAGAUUUGUUUUGUAGUCUUCGAUUCUGUUGGUGAUUCUCUUGCCGGGUAGCAGAUUCUGGAAGACAACCUGAUUCAGGUGAGAGGCAAUUCAGAAGACCUGUCCUGACAUCAUCGGGCAUUGAGAUGCAGUCACAUCAGAGUUUUGGCAUUUUUUGUCUUCAAUUUUGUUGUGGUGCUUUAGUCAGAUAGCAGAUUUGUUCUGUAGUCUUCGAUUCUGAUGGUGAUGCUCUUGCCGGGUAGCAGAUUCUGGAAGACUUCAAUUUUCUCGAUGGUGCUCUGAUCGGGUAGCAGAUUUAAAGACAUUGAUUUGUCCAGAAUUGGUUGAUUCAACUCUUGGGGUUGGAUGUGGGGCUGGGUGCCUUUCUGAUUUGUUGGCUUGGCCGAUCCAUGUAGAGUUUCUCUUUAUCAAGACUUCAUGUGGAAUUUCCUUUCCUGAAGACUCCAUGUGGAGAGUCCGACUGUAGUUAUCCUUGUUUUUUUCCCUUCCAUGAAGACUCCACGGUUGUAGUUAUCCUUGUUUUCUUUUGGCAUGC